rnacentral:rRNA from 1 species
UGCCAGCAGCCGCGGUAAUACGAAGGGAGCUAGCGUUGUUCGGAAUUACUGGGCGUAAAGCGCACGUAGGCGGACUAAUUAGUCAGGGGUGAAAUCCCGGGGCUCAACCCCGGAACUGCCUUUGAUACUGUUAGUCUAGAGAUCGAGAGAGGUGAGUGGAAUUCCGAGUGUAGAGGUGAAAUUCGUAGAUAUUCGGAGGAACACCAGUGGCGAAGGCGGCUCACUGGCUCGAUACUGACGCUGAGGUGCGAAAGCGUGGGGAGCAAACAGGAUUAGAUA